GGGGCGAGGGGCUGAGCGCUUCCGGGUCGGGGCCCUCCCCGUCGAGCGCGGCGGAGGGAGGAGCCGCGGCGGGGCGCGGGGAGAGCAGCGGCGGGGCCCGGCCCAGCCCAGCCCGGCGCAGCCCGGCCGCCUGCCGAGCCCAGCGCCGCCGGAGCCAGAUUCACCACAGAUAUGCCUGGCCGGCUGCUCUGGUGUUCCUGUGCCUCAGCACUUACUGCCCUGUGAUUGCAGAUAACAAACAUAAGAAGUGAGUUACAAAACUGGGGUAAGAAACCAAAAGCAACCUGCCUUUAUUGAGUUCUCAAGAACAUAAUUGACCCCUUGGUACAUUAUCAAGAUGCAUUAAGGAACUGGAUACAGUGCCAAAAGAACUCCAUGCGUUUCCAUGACUCUCUUGAACCCUGAGUCAGAUACUUUUGGAUAUAUAUUUCUGUUCUAAGGAGAAGAGUGUGUAUUCCAACUCCUUUCUGCCAGCUUGCUGGCAGAGAGAUUUCACUAAGAUCAUGGACCAUCCUAAUAGGGAAAAGGAUGAAAGGCAGCGGACGACGAAAGGAAUGCCGGGAAGGAGUGGGCACGGUUCUCGACCAAGCUCAUCGGCAUCUUCUGGCGUUCUGAUGGUGGGACCCAACUUCAGAGUGGGCAAGAAGAUUGGGUGUGGGAACUUUGGAGAGCUCAGACUAGGUAAAAAUCUCUACACCAACGAAUAUGUAGCGAUCAAACUGGAACCAAUAAAAUCACGUGCACCACAGCUUCAUUUAGAAUACAGGUUUUAUAAACAACUUGGAAGUGCGGCUGAAGGGCUUCCCCAGGUGUAUUACUUCGGACCGUGUGGAAAGUACAACGCCAUGGUACUAGAGCUGCUUGGUCCUAGCUUGGAAGAUCUAUUUGACCUCUGUGAUAGGACGUUCACUUUGAAGACGGUAUUAAUGAUAGCCAUCCAGCUGAUAUCUCGCAUGGAGUACGUGCAUUCGAAGAACCUCAUCUACCGAGAUGUCAAGCCCGAAAACUUCCUUAUCGGCCGGCAAGGCAACAAGAAAGAGCAUGUCAUUCACAUCAUAGACUUUGGAUUGGCAAAGGAGUACAUUGACCCGGAAACCAAAAAACACAUACCUUACAGGGAACACAAGAGCUUAACUGGAACAGCCAGAUACAUGUCCAUCAACACUCAUCUUGGCAAAGAGCAAAGUCGUCGAGAUGACUUGGAAGCCCUUGGCCAUAUGUUCAUGUAUUUCCUCCGAGGCAGUCUGCCCUGGCAAGGAUUGAAGGCUGACACCUUAAAAGAGAGGUAUCAGAAGAUUGGGGACACAAAGAGAAACACUCCAGUUGAAGUUCUCUGUGAGAACUUUCCAGAGGAGAUGGCCACGUACCUCCGCUACGUGCGGCGGUUGGACUUCUUUGAGAGACCAGACUACGAUUAUUUACGAACCAUCUUCACAGAGCUGUUUGAAAAGAAAGGCUACACCUUUGACUACGCCUAUGACUGGGUUGGCAGGCCAAUUCCUACUCCAGUGGGAUCUGUUCAUGUAGAUUCUGGGACAUCUGCAAUAACAAGAGACAGCCACAUCCACAGGGAUCGGCCAUCACAACAGGCCCUUCGCAAUCAGAAAACUAAAAAGCCCCCAACCCUCCCUCCAGUCAUGCCGGUGUGGCAGAUGUUUCCUUCUGCAGUGGACAGGUGUCAUCGGAUCGCCGAGGGGAGUGGGAGAUCCAGCCAAGCCGGCAGACCAAUACCUCGUACCUGACAUCUCAUUUGGCUGCAGAUCGGCAUGGAGGAUCAGUACAGGUGGUCAGUUCAACCAACGGGGAGCUGAACGUGGACGACCCGACAGGGGCACACUCCAACGCGCCAAUAACAGCGCAGGCAGAGGUGGAGGUGGUGGAAGAGGCUAAGUGCUGCUGCUUCUUUAAGAGGAAACGGAAGAAGACGGCUCAGCGUCACAAGUGACCAGUGCCUCCUGGGCCUUGCAGGAACCACCUCGCCUGCAGCUCCUGCCUGUCUCAUUGGAAGGGGCUUCUUUUUAGGGGGGAGGAGGAGGCAGAGGAGGAAGAGAGAAAAACGUUUAAAAAAAAAAAAAAAAAAAAAGUGACUUUUUAAACCAAAAAGAGAAGAAAACGUUCCAAAACAAACCACUCUGGGGUGGAUCUGCUGAAUGGUCUCCCUCGUUCACUCCAAGCCUGAAGCUCCUUUUGGGACCAGGACUGUGGCUGGCUCAGGUCUUGGUCGCCCUGGGAGGGGGGCUGGCUGGCUGACCCUCCUUCCCGUUGUUUACGGCGAAGGCAUCGUUCACGCAAACCUGAGGACUGUGCUUAGUUCCUGCUCACUUUCCUCCCUCCCUCCCCUGCGCCCUCUGCUCCUCCAUCCUCCUCUCUCCUUAAUCCAGCAAAGAAAUACCGUAGGCUGUCGAGAGGGCAGGAGGAUGCAGUGGGAGAAGGGCCUGACUGCUGCAACAGUAAGAGACAGGUUCCCUUUUGGGCUCCUUGGGAACAGUUACACUGUAAUGUGCAAGCUGUGAGAAAUUUGCAAUCUACUGUUCCAGUUAGGGUUUUUUGUUUCCGGCUCCCCUGACACCUCCCUCCUCUGACGGUAACAGAGCAACGUGGAUUGUUUUAAAGAAGCUGACGUCAUUGCACUUUUUAUUAUGUUUAGCAUUUACAGAUGCACAUUGUAUCUGUGGAUCCCUGCGCGGCGCCGGCGUAGACAGACAUUCAGCGGGGAAGACGGAGGGGUGGAAAGAAAGCCCUCAAGUGGGGAUGUCAACGACAUCCGCACGACCCUCGUGCCAGUCUGGGGUUCCCGACGCCCGCCUUGGGGCUUGGAAAGCAUACUUGAAUUUUCAGUCACCCUUCCUCGCUGCCGGUGAAUGUCCCUACCAUGGUUUCCUACACGCAACUGGCUGGGAGACACAAAGCUGUAGCCCAGUGUUGGCAGAAGGGAGCAGCGUUGGUUUUGCUGAGCCGGAGGAGUUUGUGCUGGCUUAAGAGGUAGAGCUGGAUUAAGGUAACUGGGAGGCAGCUGUUUCCCAAAGCACAGAUGUUUCCCAGUGUGGGUAACCGGGCAGCCUCCUCAGAUCCCUCUGGUAGGGUGGUUGUGAGCACAUACCUUCUGUGAGAAAACGUUAGCAGGAGCAAAGCUUCCCCAGCAGGGGAGAGGACACUUCAUGCCUUAACACUGAUUUCAUCUCCAGAUGGUCAGAUAGGUUUGACUGGAAUCGCCUUCAUGUCCUCCCUGCAAGCGUGGGUCUGGGGCCUGUGGCAGGCCAUCCCACCCCACAGGAGAAGCCACGGUUCUCAUGCACCACUUUGGAGCCAAACCAAUAGCUAGCAAAGGGCUCAGGGUGCUUUGCAUACGUGUUUUAUUUUGCACCCUGCUGCAGCUGAGGCUGCCCCGGGGUUACCAUGGAUGUGUCAGGGCUGUGGGAGAACUCGAGCAGCUCUUGGGAAGGUUGUGAAUAGGUUCCUUGUACUUUGUCUUUCCACAUGUGACACCUGACCAGGCUGCAACUGCUCACUUGAGGGACUUUGUUUGUCAUAAACUCGGCCCUGGCUCACCUCCAAAGUCCCAGAGAGCAUGAAGGGAGGACAGGGAGAGACUAGAUCUCACUAUCUUUUACUGGUUUUAAUGAUGAUCUGCAUAUCUUGGAGUUCAUGGAGCAGCACUCCCAGGAGGUUUGGUUCCCCUGGCUAGGCAGAAGCAGGCUUAGCGGGCAGGAGAUCAUCCUGGGCUUGCUCUUUCUGCAUCCCUGAAGCAGGCAGACACUGGUGUGGUGCUGGGGCAGAAAAGCCUCCUUGACAGGAUCUCCAUAGGGCGUCUCUUUGCCAUUCCCCACUGCGUUCUCUCCAUGCCUUAUCCCGACGAGUGCAGCUCAGAGGCACGGAGCCCUUUGCCCGUGCACCCACCAGGAGACACGUGAACGUUCUCACUCUGCAAAGCGCUUUCCUCAAGCCAUGGCCAGGGCAGGAAGGGGACCACUCACCUCCCGCAGGCGCUUCGCCCCUCAUCCCCUUCUGCCAGCGGGAGGACAGGACCAUGGCCACAUUCCACCCUCCUCUUUCCAAACUCCUCUGCUGCCAAUGGCUUCCAGAAGCCCCGUGUGUGGCACAGGCGCUGCCCUCUCUGCUGUAGGAAACCAUGGUUUGGUGACUUGGGAGGGGGGGAAAGGGGCACAGGCGUCCCCCGGGGAGAUGGAGCCAGGCCCUGAGACACUUCUGUUGCUGCCCUCCCAAGCCCCACUAAGUGCCUGUCACCAGAACUCGAUUCCUUCUGCAUCUCCUGCCGUGUUUGGUCAUUCCUCGCUGCCUCUGGUCAAGGAGCAGCUUGUAGUUGCAGCAUAUGUAAGUGUUUGCAGGGUGAGGGAGGGCGGGGGGGGGAAGGGGCCAUCUCAACAGGUUUUGUUCUUAAAUGUUUUUUUUUUGUUGUUCUUUUUUUUUGUUGUUGUUUCGGGGUUUUUUUUAAGUGAAUGUAUUUGAUUGUUUAGAAACUUUCCUGACCUUGUUUUUAAGUGGGUCGGUUUGAAAGCUGUUUCACAAUGACCCGCUCCCACUUCUCUCUGGAGAUACGAUGUUCUUUUAAUCCUACGAUGAUGUGUUUGUAGGGGAGGACUGUCCCCCCACGGCAUGCUGGUAAUGCUCACUUGUACCAAGCCCUCUUGCACUAGAAUCGUACGUUGGACUCUUCAAAAGGGCAAAGAUGUGGGGUGGCUUCAUUAACAAAAGGAAACUAAAGCGGGUUAACAGCAAGUGCUUGAGGAAGCCGCUGGCCCCAGGGAGCUCGAGGUGACCAGGAGACACAAGCCAGACUGAGCCAGCCGUGCUGUGGUAGGAGCAGGGCAUUCAGCCUACCUGGGCCACCUCUCUUUUCCUCACCAGAGGUCAUCAGCACUGGGGACCCCAUGGGAGCGAGGAGGAGCUCCCCGCGUGUGGCCCUCCAACGCUGCGAUGCAGUCUUCUGAGGUAUCAAGUGAGAUGAUUAUUAUUUUUUUUUUUCAAUAAAACAUUGCACUGCUGCA